ACUCCUGUGAGGAUGCCCUAUAAUUCUCUAACCCGAAUAUAGGAGCUGGCAUCAGGCACCUAUUUCAUACGCCCAAGACGCCUUGCUUAGCCACCCCCUCAAGGGAACCCAGCAGUGAUAAACAUUAAGCAAUGAGUGAAAACUUGACUUAGUUAAGAAUGUUAAAGGGCAGGUAAAACUCGUGCCAGCCACCGCGGUUAUACGAUGAGCCCAAGCUGACAGCCACACGGCGUAAAGGGUGGUUAAGAACUUACUAACAUAGAGCCGAACAUCUUCUUAGCUGUAAUACGCUCCCGAAGACAUGAAGUCCAACCACGAAAGUAGCUUUAUAACUUCUGAAACCACGAAAACUGGGGAACAAACUGGGAUUAGAUACCCCACUAUGCCCAACCGUAAACAAUGAUAGCAUAUUUACAAGCUAUUCGCCCGGGAACUACGGGCGCAAGCCUAAAACCCAAAGGACUUGGCGGUGCUUCAAACCCAUCUAGAGGAGCCUGUUCUAUGACCGAUAAUCCCCGUUAAACCUCACCCCCUCUCGCCCAGCCCCAGUCUAUAUACCGCCGUCGUCAGCUUACCCUGUGAGGGUCCAACAGUAAGCAAGAUUAGUUUAUACUCAAAACGUCAGGUCGAGGUGUAGCCAAUGAGGGGGAAAGAAAUGGGCUACAUUUACUAAUAACAGUAAAUACGGAUAAUGUGCUGAACAAACACAUUUGAAGGAGGAUUUAGAAGUAAGAAGGAAAUAGAGUGUCCUUCUGAAUAUGGCUCUGAAGCGCGUACACACCGCCCGUCACCCUCCCCAAGCACCCCCGCCCAACAUUCAUAAAAAGUGAAAAACGCAAAGGGGAGGCAAGUCGUAACAUGGUAAGCGUACCAGAAGGUGCGCUUGGAAAAC
rnacentral:ncRNA from 1 species